CCUACGGGAGACAGCAGUGAGGAAUAUUGGUCAAUGGGCGCGAGCCUGAACCAGCCAAGUAGCGUGAAGGAUGACUGCCCUACGGGUUGUACACUUCUUUUAUCAAAGCAUAAAGUGAGGCACGUGUGCCUUUUUGUAUGUACUUUAUGAAUACGGAUAGGCUAACUCCGUGCCAGCAUCCGCGGUACUACGGAGGAUCCGAGAGUUAUCCGGAUUUAUUUGGUUUAAAGGGAGCGUAGAUGGGUUGUUAAGUCAGUUGUGAAAGUUUGCGGCUCAAACGUAAAAUUGCAAUUGAUACUGGCAGUCGUGAGUACAGUUGAGGUAGGCGGAAUUCGUGGUGUAGCGGUGAAAUGCUUAGAUAUCACGAAGAACUCCGAUUGCGAAGGCAGCUUACUAAACUGCCACUGACAUUGAUGCUCGAAAGUGUGGGUAUCAAACAGGAUUAGAUACCCCAGUAGUC
rnacentral:rRNA from 1 species